rnacentral:rRNA from 1 species
GAUGAACGCUGGCUACAGGCUUAACACAUGCAAGUCGAGGGGAAACGACGGGGAAGCUUGCUUCCCCGGGCGUCGACCGGCGCACGUGUGAGUAACGCGUAUCCAACCUGCCUCUGACUGAGGGAUAACCCGUCGAAAGUCGGCCUAAUACCUCAUGGCAUCGUCUGCGGGCAUCCAACGACGAUUAAAGAUUUCAUCGGUCAGGGAUGGGGAUGCGUCUGAUUAGCUUGUUGGCGGGGUAACGGCCCACCAAGGCUACGAUCAGUAGGGGUUCUGAGAGGAAGGUCCCCCACAUUAGAACUGAGACACGGUCCAAACUCCUACGGGAGGCAGCAGUGAGGAAUAUUGGUCAAUGGGCGGGAGCCUGAACCAGCCAAGUAGCGUGCAGGAUGACGGCCCUAUGGGUUGUAAACUGCUUUUAUGCGGGGAUAAAGUGAGGGACGUGUCCUUCAUUGCAGGUACCGCAUGAAUAAGGACCGGCUAAUUCCGUG